UAGAGACACCAACCACAGUUAUAGGCUAGAAAAUAUAAGUCUUCCUCGUGUAUAUUACUAAUCGUGCAAUCAUAGUCAACAUCCAUGAAUUCAGGUGAAGCUACUUUACAGUGGUAAAUGUUGUGAAGUAUUUUAAAAUGCACUUCUUUGUUAACUUACACGUUUGACGUCAGCAAUCAAUAAGGAAGAAAUGGAAGGACGGAAUCCCGCCGACCAAAGAUGACACUGUGUCUAGUAGCCAAUCAGAGACGUUGGAUGAGUCACCGCUGAAACACGAAUACACGAGUGGAAUGAUAAAGCAGUGAGCAGGAGUAUCAGCUGUGGUGGAUUGAGAUAAACAGGUGUCCGGCUCACCCUGUGGCUCUGCUGUAUUGAUCAGAAUGGCGGUCGGUGUGUUAGUGUGAGCUGAGGAUUGUGUUGCGUUCACAUGAACCGCAGCUCCACAGACCCCCUGACCUCCAGAGUGAGGUUUAUUCCAGCACCGCCUGCGGCUCCUGUCAUCUGCAGAGCCGGAGGGUAAAACUAGUGCAGAAAACUGCCUCGUCAAGCGGACAGACAUUUAAAAUGAAAAAGUUGCUUCAGUCUGAAGGGUGAUUUUGCCAAAGGCUUGACUUCAGAAUGCAUGCAGAGAUAUUCCACAUCACGAACAGCUCCUCAUCAAGCAUUUAUCAUUUACACCAGGACGGUUUGAACUUUCUUAGAAUGUUUGGGAUUUCAUCAUUGAGGAACAAAAUGUUGACCUCAUGACAUCAUUUAAUUCCUGUCUCUGUAUUGAGUAGAAGGCACCUUUAAGGUGUGCACUUAAAAUGAUGAAGAGGGGCUUUUCUUUUAAUACACAUUUAAUGGCUGAGCCGAGGGACUACAUUUUUAGUAAUUAAAGUACAAAAGGCGCUUUCAAAAUGCAAAAUAAAAGUGUCAACUGAAGGGUGAGCAGUAAAAUAUAGAGGACAAGCCCCAGUUCCUGUGAGGUUUACAAUAUUCCAAAUAAAAAUGUAUGUGUGUACAUACGUAGGGAUAUAUAAUAUCUGAACAAGAUACAAUAUUGUUAUGAUUCUCACAUCAUGAUACAAUAUUAUUGCGAAUAGUCUUUCAAAUUAUUAUUAUCUUUGUGAGUAUUUAUAUAC
ensembl:lincRNA